UCCCAAUAUAUUUUAUUCUGUGUUUGAUCGUUGUUGCUGAUGUUGUUUGUUCGUUUGUUUGUUGUUUACUUUUCGCUUCCAACUUAUCUGUGUUGAUUGCUACUUUUUUCUGUUUUGUUUUCCGAGUGUUUUUUCUUCCUCCUAUUUUUUCUGGUGUGUGUUUAUGUUGAUUUUGCUUUGUUUCUGAUUUAAGUUUGAGAAAUCGAUUAUCAAUUGGACAACCCAAGUUUUUCUGUGUGUGUAAUGUUGUGUGCUGUCAAGUUUUGUUUGUUUUUUUUUUCUUUUCUUUUUUAAGUUUACCAAUACUGUAGUGCUUCUAAUCGCCUCUUGUAUCGAUUGGUCAAACCUUAUGGUUUUUAUGCGUUAUGAUUAUUACUUGAUUUAUACUUUGGUUACCAAAUCCGACAACGGCUUGAUUACAUUCCACCAUUUUGACACGUGCAAGAGAUGCGCGCGUCGAAAGGAGUAAACAAUAGUCCAAAAGUGUGCCCAAAAUAGGAACAAACAUUGCUCGUCUAACAUUUUCCAAACCCCUCCUCAUAACCAUAACCCAAAAAAAAACAAAAGUAUCUCAUUCUGUCACCAUUGGUAACGUCUCGCUUUUCAUUUCGCCUAACCAAAUAACAAAAAAAAAAAUCAAAACCCAAACAAAAAAAACGAACCAUCCAGAUCGUCUAGCCCGGAGAUAUCCGUUACGUACGUAACGAUUGCGAUUUCGACGCACAUGAAAGUCGAAAAAUACAGAACUAUGCAUGCCCUUGGAACAAUAAUCCGGUGUAAGUAAAAACGCACACACACUACCAAUGGUGACUUGUGUACUCUGUUGUGUUGUGAUCGAUCGCGCGCACACACACACACAAGUUCGAUCAAAGCAAACCUCAAAAAGACACGCAUGGAGACCGAAACGUCAACUACCACUACUACUACUACCGCAACUAUGCCAAAACAAACGAUCAUGUUCCCAAUUGGUGCUCAAUUAGAUAGAAAACAACAAAACUUGUGAAUAGAAUAGAAAGUGUGUUAUUUUAACUCGAAAGUCACCAUUAGUAACCACAAAUCUAACCUCCAAAAGUGCUCUGACAACAACAAAAAACAAUUGAAACAAAACAGAACUUAUCAAUAAAAAAAUGUGUACAUGAAAUUUUACACAGCGAAAAAACUAAAACACAUGAUCCUAGUUUUGCACCACCCUAACGUAAACGAACCGACCUUAACCCCCCGUAACCUAGAAAGAAAACAGUAAUCAACCCCAAUUUAGUGUGUAAAAUCACCCACCUUUGAUGUAAACAGUGUUUGCACUACCUCACCUAUCCGUCUGUCUGUCACUGUCACACACGCACACACAUAUUUACACGUAAACGUACAGAGAAAACCCUGUAAAAUGUUGCUUUUCGCUUUUACGCAAAAUAAAUCUUCCGUCCAUGUUAGCUCGCUUCACUGUGUAAAACCCCCUUUCGAUCGUGUAUUCUGUCUGUGUUAGUGUCCUCUAUCGUUUCCUUCCUGUCUAAAUUUUCGCCUUAUUUUUUAACCUGUACAUACACAGAAAAAUCAAUGCAAAUUAGUUUAAACAACGCAAAGUUUGAAAACAUUCCGAAAUCUGAAGCGAAAAACAGAUUUGGAACUUUUGGUUUUGCCAAUUUUUAUUUUGUGUUUACUACCGGUAUGCUUUGGAUAGUUUGUGUAGUUUUUUUUUCAGUGCUACAUUUUGUUUUUGUUUUCUUUUCCUUAGUUUGAAACAAAUUCGAUAAACUAACAACAACAAACUUGUAACUAACAGACUAACACUCCUCCCGAGUCCCGUGUCAGCUGUUAUACUAACACUGUUAUUCCGUCACCCUAAUCGCAUCUCUUUCGCUCAACUCUCGAGCAAAUUUAGACAACUUUCUUCGAGUCUGUCCCUAACUUGCUAGAAAAUAUCUAACUAGAUGCAUUGCUCGAAAUACUAGAUUUUU